rnacentral:tRNA from 1 species
GCCUGGGUGGCUCAGUCGGUUGUGUGUCUGACUUUGGCUCAGAUCAUGAUCUCACAGCUCGUGAGUUCAAGCCCCAUGCCGGGCU